rnacentral:snRNA from 1 species
ACACUUGCGCAGUGGCAGUGUUGUAGCCAGUGAGGUUUAUCUGAGGCAUGAUCGUCACUAAUUGAAAACUUUUCCCAAUACUCCAGCAUGACAACUUGAAAUAUAGUCGGCAUUGACAAUUUUUGACAGUCUCUACAGAGA